UUCAUUUAUUGGCUUUGCCAUGAACACAUAAUACUGCCUUUGUUAGUCUCCUGGCCCAGCCUCUUGAGCCCGUGCUCAGCCUCCCAGUUCUGCUCUCCUUAAAAAAACAUAACUGAGGAGUCUCUGAAAAAUAACUAAGAUCAACUGAGGCAAAUUCCCACGAUGUGGAGACAUGAAGCUCUAACUGCUGGGAGACGAGGACAGCACAGGUCCAGGAGCACGCCCAUGCGCACCUGUCUUUUCUCCCGCCAUCUCUGGUAGUUCAGAGAGCUAUACCUGGAACGCCAAAUGACACAGAAAGAAUUGCAAAUUACCACCUUUAAAUCUGUGCCCACCCCCACCCCAAAGCUGAGAAGAAACUCUGCAGCCACAUAGUUGGGCUGGGCCUGCUUCUGUGUCUACUGAAGCACUGGGAAGACUUGUUCGUUGGGGGAGACCCAGGCCAGACUCUAUGUGUUCCACUGCUGCAGGCUGUAUGCUAACAGACUGAAGCCCCUAUACCUGCAACACACUCACAAAUUCCAAAUUCCAACUGUCCUUCCUAUAGAAAAGGUAUCUGUUAUACCAUCAAGCUAGAGGGGAGGGGUUGUGUCAAAUACAAUGAAGAUCAAGAACAGUAAUUACCACUCUAAGUUUCUAUUUUGAAAACACUAUCUCUCACUUAAAGUUUUCACCACAGCUCAGGCAUUUCUCAUUAUGAAGGUAAUGUAGGAGCUUGUACUAAGGAAAUUACUAAUAUCUUGCUAUUUAAAGUAUGGUUGCCACCUUCCACACCCCUAUUAACACAGGCAUAACCUGGAAACUUGUUAGAAAACUAGACACUCUAAACUGGAUGUGAUGUGGAUGUCUGUAACUCCACAACUUGGGAUGUGGAAACAAAAGGCCCAGAAAUCCAAGGGCAUCCUUGGCUAUACAGUGAGUUCAAGGUCAGUCUGGGUUAUAAGAGAUCCUGUGAAAGAACAAGGCAAUGGAGAGGAAAGGCUCCCGACUGAGGAUAUGGCUCAGUUGGUGUGUAGCACGCUGGGUUCAUUCCCAGCACAACAGAAAGCAAGGUGGGAUGGUGCACACCCACAACCUCUGCGUUUGGGAGGUGGAGGUAAGAGGAUCCAAAGUUUAAGGCCAUCCUGAGUUACAUAGUGAGUUCAAGGCCAGCCAGAAACACUCUGAAAAAGAGAGAUAGAGGGAAAGAGAGACAGAGAGGAAGGAAGGGAGGGAUGGAGGGAGAGAAGGAAGGAGGGAGGGGAAGGGGAGGGGGAGAGAGGGAAGGAGUGGGGGGGAGAGUAGAUUCUAUGGGUCUGGUCAGAAACUUAACAAAUCACAUUGGUUCUUUAUCAAGACCCCAGAUAAACUGUAGGUACACUAAGAGGGGCACUGUACCACCAUAUAGGAUGGCACACUCUCUAGAAUAAUCCAAGUGGACAAGAUAGAGAAGAAAAAUUAAAGACUCCUAUAGAACAGUAUCAGAAAGGAAAGAGUUAAGUAGCAUUUAUCUAAUGAGUUAUCUUAAAAUAGAAUAUAUUAACAUAGUGAUGUACAUCUCUAAUCCCAGUACUUGGGAGGCAAAUGAAGGUGGAUCUUUGUGAAUACAAGGCCAGCCUAGUCUACAUAGUAAGUUCUAGGCCAGCCUGGUCUACCUAAUGAGGCCUUGUCUCAAACAAACUCACUGAUUAUACCAAAGGUGGAGGUCUAAUUUAUGCACUCAUUCAACUCAACUCAUCCUAUUUAUCCCUCUGAUGUUACCACCUAAGCAAAAAAUAGAGCAAGACAGCUUCCUGCAUUCAUAAAGCUUACAAUGGGGUCGGAGGGAGAUUAGACACAAAGCACCACGGAGAAGGCUCACAGUGUCAACUGCUGUUAAAUGUGGCAGAGAAAAUCUGUGGGAGAGGGUGUAAUUAAAAAAUUCCUGUGGUCCAGAAGUCAGCAAUUUCUGGAUUAUUAGGCUAUUUGGGAUAGGACAGCUGUGGCUCACAUGGUCCUGGUGGUCUCACUACCGGCAGAGUUCAGUCAACAGAGAUAAGCAAAACAGGUUCAUCUAAUGGAAGAGCCUGUAACGCAACGCCUGGCAGCCGGCGCAGGCUCUGGCUGGCCAGAGGGUGUUACUGGUCAUCAUUAGCAGGGUGGUUUGAAAUGCCAACACUGCUCUGAAUCCAGUGUGUGCUGCCACAGUGAGCAGUAAACAUUCGAGGACGUAAGAGACCCAGCUGUCUGAGUCACUUAGUCUGCUGACCUCCCUCUGGACAGCAAAGAAAGCCGGGCAGGACGGAGGAGAAAUGACACGAGAACCAAGGCGGAUAUAAUGAGAGCUCAGCAGGGACCAGAGACACGGCUCAGUGGUUCUCGAAGAGGAUCUGGGUUCACUUCCAGCACCCACAUGUUGGCUCCUAACUAUCUGGGAAAGGGAACAGAGGGACCCAACACCCUCUCUCUUCUGACCAACCUGAGCUCCUGCAUACGUGUAGAACACAUACAUACACUCAGGAACACACACACUUUAAUACAUAGAGAUCUCAAUCGUGAUUUCAAGGCAGAUGUGAUGACCGCAGGUACAACUGGUCUUUCAUUUUCUCAGAAUCAAUGGAAAGGCCACUGCCACGCUAUUCCUAUAGAGCGUCAUGCUAAUGUCCAUAAAGAUACUUAAAGGCAAACCCAGGCAGGCUUCCUACACCUCCUACACUACAAUUCCUUCAAA